rnacentral:rRNA from 1 species
AAUUUUGGACAAUGGGGGCAACCCUGAUCCAGCCAUCUCGCGUGUGCGAUGAAGGCCUUCGGGUUGUAAAGCACUUUUGGCAGGGAAGAAAAGGCUCUGGCUAAUACAUUGAGCUGCUGUCGGUACCUGCAGAAUAAGCACCUGCUAACUACUUGCUACCAGCCGCGGUAAUACGUAGGUUCCAAGCGUUAAUCGGAAUUACUGGGCGUAAAGCGUGCGCAGGCGGUUCGGCAAGAAGGAUGUGAAAUCCCAGGGCUUAACCUUGGAACUGCAUUCUUAACUGCCGGGCUAGAGUAUGUCAGAGGGGGGUAGAAUUCCGCGUGUAGCAGUGAAAUGCGUAGAGAUGCGGAGGAAUACCGAUGGCGAAGGCAGCCCCCUGGGAUAAUACUGACGCUCAUGCACGAAAGCGUGGGGAGCAAAC